rnacentral:rRNA from 1 species
AUUGAACGCUGGCGGCAGGCCUAACACAUGCAAGUCGAACGAGUGGCGGACGGGUGAGUAAUGUCCGGGAAACUGCCUGAUGGAGGGGGAUAACUACAGGAAACGGUAGCUAAUACCGCAUACCAUAAGAUGUGUCCAGAUGGGCUUAGCUAGUUGGUGGGGUAACGGCUUACAAAGGCGACGAUCCCUAGCUGGUAUGAGAGGAUGACCAGCCACACUGGUACUGUGACACGGUCCAGACUCCUACGUGAGGCAGCAGUGGGGAAUAUUGCACAAUGGGCGCAAGCCUGAUACAGCCAUUCCGCGUGUAUGAAGAAGGCCUUCGGGUUGUAAAGUACUUUCAGCGGGGAGGCGUUACCCGCAGAAGAAGCACCGGCUAACUCCGUGCCAGCAGCCGCGGUAAUUC